AACGAACGCUGGCGGCAUGCCUAACACAUGCAAGUCGAACGAGACCUUCGGGUCUAGUGGCGCACGGGUGCGUAACGCGUGGGAACCUGCCCUUAGGUUCGGAAUAACUCCCCGAAAGGGGUGCUAAUACCGGAUAAUGUCUUCGGACCAAAGAUUUAUCGCCUUUGGAUGGGCCCGCGUUGGAUUAGCUAGUUGGUAGGGUAAAAGCCUACCAAGGCGACGAUCCAUAGCUGGUCCGAGAGGAUGAUCAGCCACACUGGGACUGAGACACGGCCCAGACUCCUACGGGAGGCAGCAGUGGGGAAUAUUGGACAAUGGGCGAAAGCCUGAUCCAGCAAUGCCGCGUGAGUGAUGAAGGCCUUAGGGUUGUAAAGCUCUUUUACCCGGGAUGAUAAUGACAGUACCGGGAGAAUAAGCCCCGGCUAACUCCGUG
rnacentral:rRNA from 1 species